CCUACGGGAGGCUGCAGUAGGGAAUAUUGCUCCAUGGGGGAAACCCUGAAGCAGCAACGCCGCGUGGAGGAUGAAGGUUUUCGGAUUGUAAACUCCUUUUGUUAGAGAAGAUAAUGACGGUCUCUAACGAAUAAGCACCGGCUAACUCCGUGCCAGCAGCCGCGGUAAUAAGGAGGGUGCAAGCGUUACUCGGAAUAACUGGGCGUAAAGAGCGCGUAGGCGGGAUAGCCAGUCAGAUGUGAAAUACUAUGGCGUAACCAUAGAACUGCAUUUGAAACUGUUAUUCUAGAGUAUGGGAGAGGUAGGUGGAAUUCUUGGUGUAGGGGUAAAAUCCGUAGAGAUCAAGAGGAAUACUCAUUGCGAAGGCGACCUGCUAGAACAUAACUGACGCGGAUGCGCGAAAGCGUGGGGAGCAAACAGGAUUAGAUACCCGGGUAGUC
rnacentral:rRNA from 1 species